AUUGAACGCUGGCGGCAGGCUUAACACAUGCAAGUCGAGCGGAGAGAGGUAGCUUGCUACCGAUCUUAGCGGCGGACGGGUGAGUAAUGCUUAGGAAUCUGCCUAUUAGUGGGGGACAACAUUUCGAAAGGAAUGCUAAUACCGCAUACGUCCUACGGGAGAAAGCAGGGGAUCUUCGGACCUUGCGCUAAUAGAUGAGCCUAAGUCGGAUUAGCUAGUUGGUGGGGUAAAGGCCUACCAAGGCGACGAUCUGUAGCGGGUCUGAGAGGAUGAUCCGCCACACUGGGACUGAGACACGGCCCAGACUCCUACGGGAGGCAGCAGUGGGGAAUAUUGGACAAUGGGCGCAAGCCUGAUCCAGCCAUGCCGCGUGUGUGAAGAAGGCCUUAUGGUUGUAAAGCACUUUAAGCGAGGAGGAGGCUACUUUAGUUAAUACCUAGAGAUAGUGGACGUUACUCGCAGAAUAAGCACCGGCUAACUCUGUGCCAGCAGCCGCGGUAAUACAGAGGGUGCAAGCGUUAAUCGGAUUUACUGGGCGUAAAGCGCGCGUAGGCGGCUAAUUAAGUCAAAUGUGAAAUCCCCGAGCUUAACUUGGGAAUUGCAUUCGAUACUGGUUAGCUAGAGUGUGGGAGAGGAUGGUAGAAUUCCAGGUGUAGCGGUGAAAUGCGUAGAGAUCUGGAGGAAUACC
rnacentral:rRNA from 1 species